rnacentral:snoRNA from 1 species
CCUAGCCAUAGGUAACUGCUUAGGUCGCCUUGUACCUAGGCAAGUGUUACACUGCUGGGAGAAGAGCAGCCAGUGGCUGCGGGCAUCCUGAGCCUGGUGAAUGCCAUAUC